GUCCUUUUGAGUUUAAUUUAAGGUCUAAUCUGCUCAAUGAGGAUUUAAAUUGCCGCGGUAUUUUGACCGUGCGAAGGUAGCAUAAUAAUUAGUUUCUUUAUUGGAAGCUGGAAUGAAUGAUUGGACGAGAAAAUUGCUGUCUCUGAUUAAUUUUUUUUUGAAUUUAACUUUUAAGUAAAAAGGCUUAAAUUUUUCUAAAAGACGAGAAGACCCUAUAGAGUUUAACAUUUUGAUUGAAUUAAAAGGUUUUUGGGAUUAGUUUUUUUUAUUUUUCGUUUUGUUUAGUUGGGGUGACUAGAAGAUUGAUUAAACUCUUCUAAUAAGUUAUUACUGAUUAGUAAAUUUUUAUUCUGGUUUUUCCAAGUUUAAUAUAAAUUACCUUAGGGAUAACAGCGUAAUUUCUCUUUAGAGUUCAAAUUGGAAGAGAAGUUUGCGACCUCGAUGUUGGAUUAAAAUUAAUGUUUGGCGCAGUAGCUUAAUUAUUAGGUCUGUUCGACCUUUGAAAUUUU
rnacentral:rRNA from 1 species